GAGAGUGUAACUUAAUUGGAAAAAGUCCCGAUCUUCUAAAUCGGUUUAUGUAGGUUCGAGUCCUACCACUCUUG
rnacentral:tRNA from 2 species